rnacentral:rRNA from 1 species
UACGAAGGGGGCGAGCGUUUGUUCGGAAUCACUGGGCGUAAAGGGCGCGUAGGCGGCCCUCUUAGUCGCGUGUGAAAGCCCCGGGCUCAACCUGGGAACGGCGCGCGAAACGGGAGGGCUGGAGUUCGGGAGAGGAGAGUGGAAUUCCCAGUGUAGAGGUGAAAUUCGUAGGAUAUUGGGAAGGAACACCGGUGGCGAAGGCGGCUCUCUGGACCGAGACGUGACGCGUGAGG